GGGACCCCAUGAUGCCCAGCACUGGGCUCCGACCCCUCCUGAGGACGCUGUGCUCCCUGGGCCUUUGACACCCAGGGGUUCUGAGGGCCCC